CUCUCCAAGGGGAGGCGGGGAGGACACGGGUUGUGGGCCCCUUGAGGGAUAAACAAGGGCAGUGUCUCACAUCUGUCUGAGCUUCUAAGAAGUCUCAGAGAGGUAGGGCUGAGAAGGAAAAACUGAGCAUAUGGCUUGAUCUAAUUACAGCUGUUUCCCUGGGGCUCCCAGCGGCUGCGUAUCUCUUAGGAGAGAUGGCGCAAGUGGGAGGGAAAGCUAUGAUAACCCGGGCUGCGCUGCAGGCAGGAGGGCACUGGCGGGCAAAGUUGAAGCCACCAUCUGUAGGACACGGAGAAAAGUUUGCCAAGUGACAAUGAAAAGACAGCAGCCAAGUCAAGGACAGAGGAGCUGAGCUGAAUCACCAGACAGCGGGACAAAGCGGGCCAGCUUCUCCCCGUCCUCUGCUUCCAUGGGAACCGGGUCCAGCCUCCUCAAGGGCCUUCCUGACAGCUCCGGCCCUGCCCUCUGCCCUCUGCCCUCUGGGUCCCGGCAGCGCUCCCUGGCCAAGCUCCUCAAGUAACCCUUGCUUGGUUAACGGGCAAAAUGCACCACAGCCAACUGUGAUCUUCAGGGGAGGGAGGGCCCGUCUGACACUGAUUCCAGGUGCUAGCAAAGCACUCUAAAAUAUGUCGAGGAGAGGCUUCAGAGAGAUUAACGCAGCACGACCAUCAUCUGCGGAGCCAGGCCAUAUGCCAGGGCGGCCAAGAUUUCCCCUGCAACACUGGUCUCACACUUCAACCAUGACCUCCAUUCACGUAUAUAUAUGUAAGAGCUUAAUUAGGAUAUAAUUCACUUGCCAUGAAAUUCACCCUCUAAAACAUACAAUUCAGUGAUUUUUAGUGUAUUCACAGAGUUGUGCAGCCACCACCAUUUCCAGAACAUUCUCUCACCCCAUAAAGAAGCCCCAUCCCCAUCAGCAGUCACGCCCUGCUCCCCAUUCCCCACCCUCUGCCCGGGCAAUCUGUCAUCUGCUGUGUCUCUAGGAAUCUGCAGUUCUGGACAUUUCAUAGGGAUGAUACAAUACUUGGGCUUCUGUGUCUGGCUUCUUCCACUGAGUUUCACGAUGUUUCCCAGGUCUAUCCCUGCUACAGCGUGGAGCAGCAUGCCAUUGCUUUUCAUGGCUGGCUAAUAGUCCAUGCAACGGAUGGACCACAUUUUGUUUACCCAUUCAUCACUGGACAGCCAUGAAGGUGGUUUCCACCUCGGGGCCAUAAUAAACGACGUUGCUACAGACA
rnacentral:lncRNA from 1 species